GAGGGGCCCGCGCCCGAUUAGCUUGUUGGUAGGGUAACGGCCUACCAAGGCUUUGAUCGGUAGCCGGUCUGAGAGGAUGGCCGGCCACACUGGAACUGAGACACGGUCCAGACUCCUACGGGAGGCAGCAGUGGGGAAUCUUGCGCAAUGGGCGAAAGCCUGACGCAGCGACGCCGCGUGGGGGAUGAAGCCUUUCGGGGUGUAAACUCCUUUCGACCCGGACGAAUGGCCCGCAAGGGAAUUGACGGUACGGGUAGAAGAAGCCCCGGCUAACUACGUGCCAGCAGCCGCGGUAAGACGUAGGGGGCCAGCGUUGCUCGGAAUUACUGGGCGUAAAGGGUCCGUAGGCGGUGCGGCAAGUCGGGGGUGAAAUCUCUGGGCUUAACUCAGAGGCUGCCUCCGAAACUGCCGUGCUCGAGUGCGGGAGAGGCGAGCGGAAUUGCAGGUGUAGCGGUGAAAUGCGUAGAUAUCUGCAGG
rnacentral:rRNA from 1 species